rnacentral:rRNA from 1 species
UUGGAGGGCAAGUCUGGUGCCAGCAGCCGCGGUAAUUCCAGCUCCAAUAGCGUAUAUUAAAGUUGUUGCAGUUAAAAAGCUCGUAGUUGAAUUUCGGGAUUAGUACGUCGGUCGUGCCUUAGGUACGUACUGGUGUUACUGGUUCCUACCUUCUGACGAACCAUCAUGUCAUUAAUUUGGUGUCGUGGGGAAUCAGGACUGUUACUUUGAAAAAAUUAGAGUGUUUAAAGCAGGC